GGGACACGUGGUAUCCUGUCUGAAUAUGGGGGGACCAUCCUCCAAGGCUAAAUACUCCUGACUGACCGAUAGUGAACCAGUACCGUGAGGGAAAGGCGAAAAGAACCCCGGCGAGGGGAGUGAAAAAGAACCUGAAACCGUGUACGUACAAGCAGUGGGAGCCUCUUAAUGGGGUGACUGCGUACCUUUUGUAUAAUGGGUCAGCGACUUAUAUUCUGUAGCAAGGUUAACCGAAUAGGGGAGCCGAAGGGAAACCGAGUCUUAACUGGGCGUUAAGUUGCAGGGUAUAGACCCGAAACCCGGUGAUCUAGCCAUGGGCAGGUUGAAGGUUGGGUAACACUAACUGGAGGACCGAACCGACUAAUGUUGAAAAAUUAGCGGAUGACUUGUGGCUGGGGGUGAAAGGCCAAUCAAACCGGGAGAUAGCUGGUUCUCCCCGAAAGCUAUUUAGGUAGCGCCUCGUGAAUUCAUCUCCGGGGGUAGAGCACUGUUUCGGCAAGGGGGUCAUCCCGACUUACCAACCCGAUGCAAACUGCGAAUACCGGAGAAUGUUAUCACGGGAGACACACGGCGGGUGCUAACGUCCGUCGUGAAGAGGGAAACAACCCAGACCGCCAGCUAAGGUCCCAAAGUCAUGGUUAAGUGGGAAACGAUGUGGGAAGGCCCAGACAGCCAGGAUGUUGGCUUAGAAGCAGCCAUCAUUUAAAGAAAGCGUAAUAGCUCACUGGUCGAGUCGGCCUGCGCGGAAGAUGUAACGGGGCUAAACCAUGCACCGAAGCUGCGGCAGCGACACUAUGUGUUGUUGGGUAGGGGAGCGUUCUGUAAGCCUGUGAAGGUGUGCUGUGAGGCAUGCUGGAGGUAUCAGAAGUGCGAAUGCUGACAUAAGUAACGAUAAAGCGGGUGAAAAGCCCGCUCGCCGGAAGACCAAGGGUUCCUGUCCAACGUUAAUCGGGGCAGGGUGAGUCGACCCCUAAGGCGAGGCCGAAAGGCGUAGUCGAUGGGAAACAGGUUAAUAUUCCUGUACUUGGUGUUACUGCGAAGGGGGGACGGAGAAGGCUAUGUUGGCCGGGCGACGGUUGUCCCGGUUUAAGCGUGUAGGCUGGUUUUCCAGGCAAAUCCGGAAAACCAAGGCUGAGGCGUGAUGACGAGGCACUACGGUGCUGAAGUGACAAAUGCCCUGCUUCCAGGAAAAGCCUCUAAGCAUCAGGUAACAUCAAAUCGUACCCCAAACCGACACAGGUGGUCAGGUAGAGAAUACCAAGGCGCUUGAGAGAACUCGGGUGAAGGAACUAGGCAAAAUGGUGCCGUAACUUCGGGAGAAGGCACGCUGAUAUGUAGGUGAAGCGACUUGCUCGUGGAGCUGAAAUCAGUCGAAGAUACCAGCUGGCUGCAACUGUUUAUUAAAAACACAGCACUGUGCAAACACGAAAGUGGACGUAUACGGUGUGACGCCUGCCCGGUGCCGGAAG
rnacentral:rRNA from 1 species